GGAUUAGAUACCCUGGUAGUCCACGCCGUAAACGAUGAGAACUAGCUGUUGGGAGGGCUUAACCUCUUAGUAGCGAAGCUAACGCGAUAAGUUCUCCGCCUGGGGAGUACGGCCGCAAGGUUAAAACUCAAAGGAAUUGACGGGGGCCCGCACAAGCGGUGGAGCAUGUGGUUUAAUUCGAUGCAACGCGAAAAACCUUACCUACCCUUGACAUCCUCGGAACUUACCAGAGAUGGUUUGGUGCCUUCGGGAACCGAGUGACAGGUGCUGCAUGGCUGUCGUCAGCUCGUGUCG
rnacentral:rRNA from 1 species